rnacentral:rRNA from 1 species
GUCCACGCUGUAAACGAUGAGCACUAGGUGUCGCGGGUAUUGACCCCUGCGGUGCCGCAGCUAACGCAUUAAGUGCUCCGCCUGGGGACUACGGCCGCAAGGUUAAAACUCAAAGGAAUUGACGGGGGCCCCGCACAAGCGGUGGAGCAUGUGGUUCAAUUCGACGCAACGCGAAGAACCUUACCUGGGCUAGACAACGGAGGACCGCUCCAGAGAUGGGGUUUUCCCUUCGGGGACCUCCGGUUCAGGUGCUGCAUGGCUGUCGU